GACGAACGCUGGCGGCGCGCCUAACACAUGCAAGUCGAACGGAGAUAAGGAGGAGCUUGCUCCACCUUAUCUGAGUGGCGGACGGGUGAGUAACGCGUGAGUAACCUGCCUUAAAGAGGGGGAUAACGUCUGGAAACGGACGCUAAUACCGCAUGACAUACGGACAUGGCAUCAUGAUCGUAUCAAAGGAGCAAUCCGCUUUAAGAUGGACUCGCGUCUGAUUAGAUAGUUGGUGAGGUAACGGCUCACCAAGUCGACGAUCAGUAGCCGACCUGAGAGGGUGACCGGCCACAUUGGGACUGAGACACGGCCCAG
rnacentral:rRNA from 1 species